rnacentral:tRNA from 1 species
GGGCCCGUAGCUCAGCGGUUCAGAGCGCGGAUCUUAUAAGUCCGUGGUCGUAGGUUCGAAUCCUACCGGGCCCA